AUUGAACGCUGGCGGCAGGCCUAACACAUGCAAGUCGAGCGGGGUUUUCGGACCUAGCGGCGGACGGGUGAGUAAUGCGUAGGAAGCUACCCGAUAGAGGGGGAUACCAGUUGGAAACGACUGUUAAUACCGCAUAAUGUCUACGGACCAAAGUGUGGGACCUUCGGGCCACAUGCUAUCGGAUGCGCCUACGUGGGAUUAGCUAGUUGGUGGGGUAAUGGCUCACCAAGGCGACGAUCCCUAGCUGGUUUGAGAGGAUGAUCAGCCACACUGGAGCUGAGACACGGUCCAGACUCCUACGGGAGGCAGCAGUGGGGAAUAUUGGACAAUGGGCGCAAGCCUGAUCCAGCCAUGCCGCGUGUGUGAAGAAGGCCUUCGGGUUGUAAAGCACUUUCAGUAGGGAGGAAGGGUGUUGUGUUAAUAGCACAGCAUUUUGACGUUACCUACAGAAGAAGCACCGGCUAACUCUGUGCCAGCCGCCGCGGUAAGAC
rnacentral:rRNA from 1 species